ACAACAACAUUCGGACCGUCGGUCUACCGAGCAAUAUCACCCGCUCGGUGGAAGAUCUUCCGUUCGUCGUUAAGC
rnacentral:pre_miRNA from 1 species